CUUGUGGGAAGAGCUGAAGCAGGCGCUCUUGGCUCGGCGCGGCCCGCUGCAAUCCAUGGAGGAACGCGCCGCCGAGCCACCAUCAUGCCUGGGCACCUACAGGAAGGCUUCGGCUGUGUGGUCACCAACCGAUUCGACCAGUUAUUUGACGACGAAUCGGACUCCUUCGAGGUGCUGAAGGCAGCGGAGAACAAGAAAAAAGAAGCCGGCGGGGGCGGCGUUGGGGGCCCCGGAGCCAAGAGCGAGGCUCAGGCCGCGGCUCAGACCAACUCCACCGCGGCGGGCAAACAGCUGCGCAAGGAGUCCCAGAAGGACCGUAAGAACCCGCUGCCGCCCAACGUCGGCGUAGCGGACAAGAAAGAGGAGGCGCAGCCGCCCGUGGCGCUGAAGAAAGAAGGAAUAAGACGUGUUGGAAGAAGACCUGAUCAACAACUUCAGGGGGAAGGGAAAAUAAUUGAUAGGAGACCAGAACGGCGACCACCUCGUGAAAGAAGAUUUGAAAAACCACUUGAAGAAAAGGGUGAAGGAGGAGAAUUUUCAGUUGAUAGACCUAUUAUUGACCGGCCUAUUCGAGGACGUGGUGGCCUUGGAAGAGGGCGAGGUGGCCGUGGCCGUGGCAUGAGCAGAGGAGAUGGAUUUGAUGCUCGUGGCAAGCGUGAAUUUGAUAGAAAAAAGUUGAGUUGGACAAGCAUAAAAAGGUCACACAUGUCCUGCACCAUCCCUUCCCAGUCACCGGGAACGCGAAGAACCACGAAGCAUUCAGGGGCAGCGCUGCAGGAGCCAGCAGAGCUCCAGCUCGGAGCGCACCGGUCUGGACAGCUCCGGGUGCUGAAGUUGCACCGGCUCGGAGCACCGGCCGCUGCCUUCCCGCCGCCGCCCCGGGCAGCCGGGGCGCUCGGCCGAGGGACUUCCCGAGGGGGCUGA